CCGCGCCGCUCGCCGCGCUCAGGCCGCCGCCGGAACCCCCGCCGACGCUGCCCGCGGGCGCCCCCGAGGCCCCCAGUGCCCCAUCCCCCGCCACCCCAGCGCCGGCCCCACUCACCCUUUCAUUCUCCGCCCGCGGCCUGGCGUGGGCCGGCGAAUCCCCGGCCUCACGUAAGCGCGCUCGCCGCCCGCCCUGCCUGCGCGGCCCAGCCCGCCGCCCUACGGGAGCCCGGGGAUGUGGGCCGGGCCUGGGGCCGCCUCUGCUUACCUUUCAGCUGCUUUUUUUUUUUUUUUUUUUUUUUUUUUUUUUNNNNNNUUUUUUCCUCCUUCCUCCCCCCCCAACCCCCCCUCCCUCGCCUAGGCUGACAGAUCAGAGAGGCGCUGGCAGUGGACUUUAGGGAGCUCGGCUGAUACUGCUCCCUCCCUGGGCUUCGGCAAGAGUCUUUCCCUGUCUAACACGAGGGGUGAGGAUCAUAUUUUUAUUUUGGAAACUAAAAAGUGCUCCCAGGGUCGGUGAUCAUUAAGGGGAAAUCCCUGAAUAUACUCUCCAGCCAAGAAGGCAGGGCUGCCCGCCUGCACUAGAAGAGGCAGCAGCCUCCUACAGCACCACUACAGGCACCGCGAGGACAUAACACCACAGAGCAGUUCCUCUGCCCUCCGAAACGACAACUUUCCUACCAUCUUGGAGGCAGAGGAGAGAGGGGCCAAGGGGAGAAGUGCACCGGCUCCAGAUAAAGUCCAAAUUUCUACCUCUCAUCGCUGGAAAAAAGCCCAUACUUGAGAAAAAGUAGGGAAGAAUGAGAAAGGAAGUCGUGUGCUCCGUGGUGGGGAAUGUUUCUGCACCUUCUGAUGGAAAGAAAUCUUUACAAGACACAGGUUUUACGAUAUUAUUGUUUUCCAUGUUAACUUUUUCCAUAGGGGUGACAGUGGGAGCUUACUUUUUUUCUUUUUCUUUUUUUCUUUUUUUUUUUUUUCAUGAUUUUUCUCUAUGGCAGGUCCAAGUUCUGUAUCUGGUGGCCAGUCUGUAAAUUGGCACUUGAGAGACUUAGAGGUCACGGUAUUGUCUUUAUUUAACGCUCGUUUAUGUUGUAUGUAUUCGUACUUAUGGUUUCAUGUAUUAGAGUUAAGAUUUUGUGGUUUUGGUAUCUGAGAAACUGAAGCUGCUGAGAAUCAAUUGUAAAGACAUGGCUUUUGUCUUCUCUCAGAGCAAUGUAAGUAAAACCUAUUGACUGCCCAGAAAGGCA
rnacentral:lncRNA from 1 species